UACGUAGGGUGCGAGCGUUAAUCGGAAUUACUGGGCGUAAAGCGUGCGCAGGCGGUUCGUUGUGUCUGAUGUGAAAGCCCCGGGCUCAACCUGGGAAUGGCAUUGGAAACUGGUGAGCUGGAGUGUGGCAGAGGGGGGUGGAAUUCCGCGUGUAGCAGUGAAAUGCGUAGAGAUGCGGAGGAACACCGAUGGCGAAGGCAGCCCCCUGGGCCAACACUGACGCUCAGGCACGAAAGCGUGGGGAGCAAACAGG
rnacentral:rRNA from 1 species